CAUGUUAACAUCCAUGAUAUAUGUUUUCCUUUUGUAGUCAUGUAUCAAGGUUGCGAUGGAUUUUGUGUCUCCUGAAAAUGUUGGGGAGUGCUUUCGUUUGACAGAGGAAUUCCGCACACUUCCAAUAAAUCAUAGGUCUAUUGAGGACAAAUUGGAGGUGAAGAAAAUGACAAUAUAUGCAAUGGAAGAUGCGAUUGGAAAGUUGGAGAAAGCAAGGCACAGGGUAACCAAGGUUCCAGAAUAAAUACAUGUAACAGAUCGAAGCCAAUUGAAAGUGUAAAAAUUGAAUCAUUAGCUUAUUCAAGUGUGAUGAUGUUGGUUUCUAUACAUGAUACUGACUUGUAACGGUGUACAUGUAGUUGUCAGUUUGUCACCACCUGCAUGCCUAGAGUCCCAAUUCUUUAGACCGAAUAAAAGAUGCUGAUGUGAGCAUAUUGUACUUUUCAACUUCUGAAUGGGGUUAGAGAUAAGAUUCUAAGUUGCCCCUAUUGCAUUAGAGUAAAGUAGUGUUGCAUUAGAGUAGUGUUGUAUAAACUGGUGUAUUAGUUGUAUGAAUAACGCAACUCAUUACAUUGUAUGUGGCAAAAUGUUGGGAAUGCUGAUUUAAUGUCAUUUCCAAAAGAGAAUACCAUUAAUUCUAGAUGGACGGAGAUGAA